GAGAGAGAGGGAGAGAGACAGAGAGAGAGAGAGAGAGGAAGGGAGGGGGAAGAGACAAGCCAGCGGAGGGAGCAGAGACAAAGCUUGCUGACGGAGGAAGUGAAGUGUGCUCUGCAGCAUGUGGACCAUGUGCUCAGCAGAUAACUGCAGAGUGUCGAGCCCACGGAAGGUGUCUGCAACCAUGGGCUCUCUGCUGCACAGCUGUCGGUGUUUGGAGCAGCAAGGAGCGGAGGAAGGAGCCUCGACCCUGGAGACAGACAACCACAAAAACCUGUCCAUCAGAACCUGAAAUCGUCAAGAUGACAUGGUGGAGACAUCCUUCUACAGGUAAUUGGUAUUUUUCUAGCUGUUAUACAGAGUUUAUGGAGGAUUACAUUUUCCUGUUUGUCCAGGCCCUCCGAUGUAGGCUUUCAAAUUAACGUUUCGUUCCAGCCUUAUUCUAAAAUUGAUUAAAAUGUUUCCCCCCCCCCCCUCAUCAAUGUACACACAAUACACCAUAAUGACAAAGCAAAACCAGGAUUUUACACAUUUUUGCAAAUGUAUUCAAAAUAAAAAACGGAAAUAUCACAUUUAUGUAGGUAUUCAGACUGUUUACUCAGUACUUUGUUGAAGCACCUUUGUCAGCAAUUACAGCAUCGAGUCUUCUUGGGUAUGACACUACAAGCUUGGCACACCUGUAUUUGGGGUGUUUCUCCCAUUCUUUGCAGAUCCUCUCAAGCUCUGUCAGGUUUGAUGGGGAGCAUCACUGCACAGCUAUCUUCAGGUCUCUCCAGAGAUGUUAGAUCGGGUUCAAGUCCGGGCUCUGGCUGGGCCACUCAAGGACAUUGUCCCGAAGCGACUUCUGUACUGUAUUGGCUGUGUGCUUAGGGUCGUUGUCCUGUUGGAAGAUGAACCUUCACCCCAGUCUAAGGUCAUGAGCGCUCUGGAGCAAGUUUUCAUCAAUGUUCUCACUCUACUUUGCUCUGUUCAUCUUUGCCUCGAUCUUAACUAGUCUCCCAGUCCCUGCCACUAAAAAAUAUCCCCACAGCAUGAUGCUGCCAUCACCAUGCUUCACCGUAGGGAUGGUGCCAAGUUUCCUCCAGACGUGACGCUUAGCAUUCCGGCCAAAGAGUUCAAUCUUGGUUUAAUCAGACAGGAGAAUCUUGUUUCUUAUGGUCUGACAGUCCUUUAGGUGCGUUUUGGCAAACUCCAAGUGUGCUGCCAUGUGCCUUUUACUGAGUAGUGGAUCAAGGAGGAAUCUUGGUGGUUCCAAACGUCUUCAAUUUAAGAAUGAUGGAGGCCAUUGCAAUCUUGGGGACCUUCAAUGCUGCAGACAUUUUUUGGUACCCUUCCCCAGAUCUGUGCCUCGACACAAUCCUGUCUCGGAGCUCUAUGGACAAUUCCUUCGACCUCAUGGCUUGGUUAUUUCUCUAACAUGCACUGUCAACUGUGAACUGUCACUGUCAACUGUCAACCUUAUAUAGACAGGUGUGUUCCUUUCCAAAUCUAAUUGAAUUUACUACAGGUGGACUCCAAUCAAGUUGUAGAAACAUCUCAAGGAUGAUCAAUGGAAACUGGAUGGAUGCACCUGAGCUCAAUUUCGAGUCUCAUAGCAAAGAGUCUGAAUACUUUUGUAAAUAAGGUAUUUCUGUUAUUUAUUUUUAAUACAUUUGAGAGAAAAAAAUCAAAAAAACGGUGUUUGCUUUGUCAUUAUGGGGUAUUGUGUGUAGAUUGAUGAGCAAAAACAGUCAUUUAAUCAAUUUUAGAAUAAGGCUGUAAUUUAACAAAAUGUGAAACAUAUCAUGGGGUCUGAAUACUUUCCAAAUGCACUGUAUACCUGUUAUUAAGUUUCCAUUGUCCUGAAGUGGUGAUAUCCAUGGAAGUACUGUACAAGUCUAGCUCUUGCCCUAUAUUUUUAGUUUGACUAUAGUCAGACUCUUUGACUGUGACUUUGUGUUUCUAUUAAGUGAAUGAGCUCACCAUUUCUAGGGUUUUGGGUCAAGGAUAUUUCAUGUCUAAUUCAGUCAAGGGAUUAUAUCGUUAUUUUACAAUUAUUACAAUUAUAUAGCCAUAAUUCAGAGGAUUGUCCUUUCAUUCUCUCAGCUCUUUCAAUCUUUCAUUCUGUCAAUAUUUCAUUCUGUUCUUCCUCUGGCUUAACAUAACACCUCCUACAGUGUGUCUAAUCAUCAGAUCAUGAGUCAUGACUCUUGAUGUAUUUUGAGAGGCACUGGAUGCUAUUUAGCUCUAGCAAUAAGAGCUAUCUGAGCAAUGUAGCUCCUGUGAGUACAUGUCUACCAAGAAGGACAAGAGAGUAGUUACACUCUUAGAAAUAAGGUGGUAUCUAGAACCUAAAAGGGUUCUUCAUUUGAAGAACCCUUUUUGGUUCCAGGUAGAACCCUUUUGGGUUCCAUGUAAAGCCCUUUCUACAGAGGGUUCUACAUGGAACCCAAAAGGGCUCUGCCUGGAAACAAAAAGGGUUCUCCUAUGGGGACAGCUGAAGAACCCUUUUGGAACCCUUUUUUCUAAGAGUGUAUGGUUUGGCUGAAUGUAAACUGAAUUCAAAAAGGCAGAGUGAUUCAUACAGUACACACACCCCCAUGUUUCCCCUGCCUCUGCUCUCCUCAGAUGUAAGACACAUGACAUCAUUAAAAGGGAGCUCUCAAGCUCAGUGUGGGUUCCUCGUGUGGGUAGACUGUGUGUGUGUGUGUGUGUUUGUUUGUGUGUGUCUGUGUGGGAGAGAGAAUGAAGCCAUCCAAAGCGCCAGACCCAUUGGUCCAUGUUCACUGUAUGCGUGCCCUACUGGAGGCUCUCGUACUGGGAUACGCUCACUCCCACAUCAGGGUAGAGGCUGGGGCUGAGUGAGAGAGGGAGUGGGAAGAGAGGAGUGAGAGAGAGAGAAAGAGAGGAGAGAGCCGGAGGGAGUCAGUGGGAAGAGAGCUCUGCCCCACAGCAUAGAGAGGGUGUUUUUAGGUAUGGUACAUGCACACACAAACACACAAACACAGAUCAAUCUAAAUACAGUUGCUGCUGGAGCUGCGUUGAUGCAGUUACUUUAAUCUUAGGAUUUUGUCAAGAUUAGCUCAAGAUUGAUCUGCUGUUUUGAAGUCUAUAAAAUUGUACGUAUGUUUCAUACAGUUCUCCUGGUUUCAGUCUCAUUGAAAAGUUAAUAUAUGAAUAGUUUCAUUCCAAAAUACAAUACAUACAUUUUCUGAAAUAUUGGUAAAUUAGUUUUUAUUGUUUAAAGAAAUGUUGAUUGACAUUGGGUUGUUUAAUGACAGACAUGUAUUUGUUUAAAAUCUGGUUUCAUUUCAGAGAGACAAAUAAUCAUGUCUUUUUUUGCAAAAUGCUACAUAUCAGCCUCACUCUCAGAGAAAUAAGAAUACUGCUAUGUUUUACACAGUCAAAUGUAACAAAUAAAUACAUGUGUAAUAAAGAAAUGUACAAAUGAUAAAUUGCAUUUUU